rnacentral:rRNA from 1 species
GAUGAACGCUAGCGACAGGCUUAACACAUACAAGUCGAGGGGUAGCAGGGGGUAGCAAUACUUUGCUGACGACCGGCGCACGGGUGAGUAACGCGUAUGCAACUUACCUAUCAGAGGGGGAUAACCCGGCGAAAGUCGGACUAAUACCGCAUAAAACAGGGGUCCCGCAUGGGAAUAUUUGUUAAAGACUUAUUGCUGAUAGAUAGGCAUGCGUUCCAUUAGGCAGUUGGCGGGGUAACGGCCCACCAAACCGACGAUGGAUAGGGGUUCUGGGAGGAAGGUCCCCCACAUUGGUACAGGGACACGGACCAAACUCCUACGGGAGGCAGCAGUGAGGAAUAUUAGUCAAUGGGCGCGAGCCUGAACCAGCCAAGUCGCAUGAAGGAUGAAGGUUCUAUGGAUUGUAAACUUCUUUUAUUGGGGAAUAAAGUGCAGGACGUGUCCUGUUUUGUAUGUACCCAACGAAUAAGCAUCGGCUAACUCCGUGCCAGCCGCCGCAGUAA